rnacentral:rRNA from 1 species
AGUGAACGCUGGCGGUAGGCCUAACACAUGCAAGUCGAACGGCAGCACAGUAAGAGCUUGCUCUUACGGGUGGCGAGUGGCGGACGGGUGAGGAAUACAUCGGAAUCUACUUUUUCGUGGGGGAUAACGUAGGGAAACUUACGCUAAUACCGCAUACGACCUACGGGGGAAAGCAGGGGAUCUUCGGACCUUGCGCGAUUGAACGAGCCGAUGUUGGAUUAGUUAGUUGGCGGGGUAAAGGCCCACGAAGUCGACGAUCCGUAGCUGGUCUGAGAGGAUGAUCAGCCACACUGGAACUGAGACACGGUCCAGACUCCUACGGGAGGCAGCAGUGGGGAAUAUUGGACAAUGGGCGCAAGCCUGAUCCAGCCAUACCGCGUGGGUGAAGAAGGCCUUCGGGUUGUAAAGCCCUUUUGUUGGGAAAGAAAAGCAGCAGGUUAAUACCCCGCUGUUCUGACGGUACCCAAAGAAUAAGCACCGGCUAACUUCGUG